rnacentral:rRNA from 1 species
AGCGAACGCUGGCGGCAGGCUUAACACAUGCAAGUCGAGCGGGCCCUUCGGGGUCAGCGGCAGACGGGUGAGUAACACGUGGGAACGUACCCUUUGGUUCGGAAUAACGCUGGGAAACUAGCGCUAAUACCGGAUACGCCCUUUUGGGGAAAGGCUUGCUGCCGAACGAUCGGCCCGCGUCUGAUUAGCUAGUUGGUGGGGUAAUGGCCUACCAAGGCGACGAUCAGUAGCUGGUCUGAGAGGAUGAUCAGCCACACUGGGACUGAGACACGGCCCAGACUCCUACGGGAGGCAGCAGUGGGGAAUAUUGGACAAUGGGCGCAAGCCUGAUCCAGCCAUGCCGCGUGAGUGAUGAAGGCCUUAGGGUUGUAAAGCUCUUUUGUCCGGGACGAUAAUGACGGUACCGGAAGAAUAAGCCCCGGCUAACUUCGUG